ACCAACCCCCUUAAGGGCUCACCCCAGGAGGAACUGAAGUCUGCCAGCAACCAUCCAUGCCACGCAGCUUGUAGGAGUUCCCCGACCAGGGAUUGAACCCGGGCCACAGCAGUGACAGUGCCGAAUCCUAACCACUAGACCACCAGGGAACUCCCGCUGGGAAAUGAUAAGGAGGUAAUUCUACUGGAGUUGGCCUCCAUG